rnacentral:lncRNA from 1 species
AUAAUGGUUAUUCAUGACCAAGAAGGAAAGACCUGAGACAUGGAAUGAGCGAUUGCAGCCCUUCAGUAUGACACAGAUUCACAUCAAGAUAAAGAUGAUGUGCAAAGAAAACCCAUGCCCCCAAAGAGAUUACAGCCACUCCUCCAGACAGAUCCAGCAGGAAUAACCACAAAAGUCACCUUGGGGCCACUUAAUAGAACAGGUGGCUGCCGCCUGGUGACAAUGGCCGUAUGAGCCCCACCAUGGCCCACUGGAAGCGUCAGAGCACAGUGAGCAGCCUGCUGGACCACAGGGUGAGACCGGGCCUGGAGCCCAAGAGCAAGGACGUGGAGGAACUAGCCCUGGAAGAGUACAUGCCCACUGGACUGGAGCUAGUGGCCCUGUGGCCUGAGAGGCCGUUGCCUGCCCAGAAGGGCGGCCCUGAUGGGUACUUUGGCUCCAACUAGAGUAAACAACACCUCGGAGGAGGAGGACUAUGACGAGGGCUGCCUGAAGAGGAGGGCAUCACCUAUUACAUCCGCUACUGCCCCAAGGACAACAGCUACCUGCAGGGGAUGGACUGCAACAGGCAGGGCUACUUGGCCCACCUAGAGAUGCCAUCUGGAGAUGGAUGAGUGCCAGGAGGUGGUGGAGGAGUGGACAGAGCCAGGGCCAGCGACUCCCCAGAGGUCUGCCCACUUGCCAAGUCUGGCCGUGGCCCCAGCAGACACAAGGGCAGGCCCAAGUUGCUGAACCUCCCUCGAGGCCAAGCACCCUGCCGAUGCCCAGAGGAGCUUCAAGACCAGGACCCAGGAAGAGAGGCCUAAGUGGCCCCAAGAGGAGGACACUGGGCUGCACUCUGAGAAGUUCCUGGAUCUCCCCUGGACCUGACCAUCAUGUGGCCAGAGAAAUUGCCCAGCUCUCCUGUUUUCUCAGCACUUCAGCAGGACAAGAAAGACAGAGCCUGCCAGAACCAAGUCGACCGUCCCUCCUCAGCAGAGACCAGACCUGCCCCUCGUCUCCCAGCCCUGCGCCUGGUGUGUGUUUUGUCAACACUUCAGUGGAACAAGAAAGGACCAAGCCUGCAAGAACCAAGGUGUAUAUGAACUUGAUUCAGUUAUACCUGCUGCUGCUGCUGCUGCCGCCGCCUCGCUUUAGUCAUGUCCGACUCUGUGCGACCCCAUAAACAGCAGCCCACCAGGCUUCCCGUCCCUGGGAUUCUCCAGGCAAGAACACUGGAGUGGGUUGCCAUUUCCUUCUCCAAUGCAUGAAAGUGAAAAGUGAAAGUUAAGUUGUUCAGACGUGUCCGACUCUAGCGACCCCAUGGACUGCAGCCUACCAGGCUCCUCCAUCCAUGGGAUUUUCCAGGCAAGAGUACUGGAGUGGGGUGCCAUUGCCUUCUCCGCAGUUAUACCUAGAUGUUUAUCUAUUCUUUUUCUGCUUUUUUACUCAUAUAGGUUAUUACAUUUUUUCCAGUACAGUUUCCUGUUCUAUUCAGAAAACUUAAUAUAUUAUCAACUUGAUAUAUAUUAGUGCAUAUAUUUCCAUCCCAAACUAUUAAUUUAUCCCUCUCUUCUAACUUUCUUUUGAUAAUUGGAAUUUGGUUUUCUCAGGCUGUGAGUCUGUCUGGUACAUUAGUUCACUGGUAUGAAUGUAUAGAUUCCACCCGUACGUAUCACAUAUUUGUCUCUGACUUACCUCACAUAGAAUAUAAUUUCUUGGUUCAUCCAUGCUGCUGCCAAUGUCAUCAUUUCAUUUUGUUUUACGACUGAGUAGUAUUCCAGUGUAUAGGUGUACCUCAUAGCCUUCACCUUUCUGUCACUGGACAUUUUGGUGGAUUCUAUAUCUUGGCUUUUGUAAAUAGUGUUGCCCUGAAAGUUGAGGUGCACGUGUCAUUUUGAAUGAUGAUUUUUUUCUGGACCUGAGUCCAGGAAUGGGAUUUCAGGAUCAUAUGAUACCUCUCUGUUUAGUGUUUCAAGGAACGUCCAUGAUGUUUUCCAUAGUGGCUUCACCAUUUACAUUCCCACCAGGAUUGUAGGAGGAUUCCUUUUUCUGUACAUUCUCUACAGUGUUUGUUCUUUGUAGAUCUUUUCGAUGAUGGCCACUGUGACUAAGGCAAUACCUUAUUGAAGUUUUGAUUGGCAUUGAUUUAAUAAUUAUUGAUGUGGAGUAUCUUUCCAUGUGCUUUUAUUAUUUUACACCUUGUGAGUACAGUUUACCUCUUGAAACUGGCUUCUAGAAACUUGACCCUGUUUGGAAUUCUUUUGCGAUGAUUUACCUCAGGACAUUCCUUGAGUGCAGGUGUCAUUUAAAGUCCUGCUGGACUUUUGACUAUUAAGAGCCCUUCAGCACGUGUUUUAUGGCUUCCCUGUUGGAUCAGCGGUAAGAAAUCCACCUGCAAUGCAAGAGACUUGAGGAGACACAGUUUUGAUGCCUGGGUUGGGAAGAUCCCCUGGAGAAGGAAAAGGCAACCCACUCCAGUCUUCUUGCCUGGGAAAUCCCAUGACAGAUGAGCCUGGCAGGCUACAGUCCAUGGGGUUCCAAAGAGCUGGACACGAGUGACUAAACAAAACAGCAGCUGUUUUAAUGUGUAUAUAUUGAUCUGAACCCCCUAAUUACUCCCUGCCCCCUGACAUUUCUUUUUGGUAAACAUCAAGCUUCUUUUCUAAGUCUGUGAAUCUGUUUCUCUUCUGUAAUGAAGUUCAUUUGUAUCCAUUUUUAGAUUCUGCCGGAAGUGAUAUCCUAUGAUGCUUGUCUCCCUGUUUCACUUUCUUCACUUACUGUAAAUCACCUCUGGUUUCUUCCCUGUAACUAGAAAUGUCAUUGUUUCAUCCUUUUUUAUUUCUGAGUAAUAUUGCAUUGUGUAUAUGUACCCCAUCUUCUGUAUCCAUUCAUCUGUCUUGGUACACUUAAGUUGCUUCUGUAUCUUUGCUACUGUACCUAGGGCUGCUAUGACCUUUGGGGUGCAGGUUUCUCUUUAUAUUUUGGUUUUCUCUGGAUCUACACCUAGGUAUGGUAUUGCUGGAUCACUUGGUACUUCUAUUUUUAGUUUUCUAUAAACCUCCAUAAUGUUCUCCAUAGUGGGUGUACGAUUUACAUUCCCACCAACAGUGUAAGAGGGUUCCCUUCUCUCCACCGCCUCUGGAGAAUUUACUGUUGUAGGUUUUUUGAUAUGGUCAUUUAGAUCAACCAUAUUGCCUUUCCAAUGACAAAGAAAGGUAAUGCCAAAGAAUGCUCAAAUUACUGCACAAUUGCACUCAUCUCACAUGCUAGUAAAGUAAUGCUCAAAAUUCUCCAAGCCAGGCUUUAGCAGUACGUGAACCGUGAACUUCCAGAUGUUCAAGCUGGUUUUAGAAAAGGCAGAGGAACCAGAGAUCAAAUUGCCAACAUUCGCUGGAUCAUCGAAAAAGCAAGAGUUCCCAAAAAAACCAUCCAUUUCUGUUUUAUUGACUAUGCCAAAGCCUUUGACUGUGUGAAUCACAAUAAACUGUGGAAAAUUCUGAAAGAGAUGGGAAUA